rnacentral:siRNA from 1 species
UGCGGAAGGAUCAUUGUCGAUA